rnacentral:rRNA from 1 species
AUUGAACGCUGGCGGCAUGCUUUACACAUGCAAGUCGAACGGCAGCGCGGGCUUCGGCCUGGCGGCGAGUGGCGAACGGGUGAGUAAUACAUCGGAACGUGCGCAGUAGUGGGGGAUAGCUCGGCGAAAGCCGGAUUAAUACCGCAUACGACCUGAGGGUGAAAGCGGGGGAUCUUCGGACCUCGCGCUAUUGGAGCGGCCGAUGGCAGAUUAGCUAGUUGGUGGGGUAAAGGCCUACCAAGGCGACGAUCUGUAGCUGGUCUGAGAGGACGACCAGCCACACUGGGACUGAGACACGGCCCAGACUCCUACGGGAGGCAGCAGUGGGGAAUUUUGGACAAUGGGCGAAAGCCUGAUCCAGCAAUGCCGCGUGUGUGAUGAAGGCCUUCGGGUUGUAAAGCACUUUUGGCGGGAACGAAAAGGACUGUGCCAAUACCACGGUUCGAUGACGGUACCCGCAGAAUAAGCACCGGCUAACUACGUG